rnacentral:lncRNA from 1 species
AUACUCACUCUGUCGGUUUUGGAGCUCGUGUCCAGAUAGUAAACAUACAUAUUCUUAAAUGAUGAUUUUACUAUUCAGAAGAGAGUUUUUGUUAAGGAUAUAUUUGAAGAUUGACUUGCUCACAUGGUCUUUUACUCUGUGGACCUUGGCAAAGUAUACAGUAGGUUUUCGUUGCCAUUACAUAUUUUUGUCAUUGAAAUGUAUCUUUUGUGUUUUUAAAUGCAUCCAUUUUACAGUUGUGACUUUAUUAUUGACUUUAAAUAAAGAAGUAGAAAUAAAUGAAAAUUAAAGUGAAAGCCCUUUUAUUAAUGGGAAUAUAUUAGAAUGAUCAAGAAUAUUUUGGGUUCGUGUUUAUUUUUUAAUGAAUUCAUGGUUACUUGAGUGUGAAUAAUUACGCUUUAUAGGUGGAAAAAGCAGCAAAGAAAGGUAAAAUUAAAUGAAGAUGAGGAGGACUAUAGUCAUGGGAUUCUAAGAGCCAGAUAAAACAGUGGAAAUAAUCUAGUCUUUUCUUUUGUAGAGAGGAGGGCUAGGGAGAUAGCACUAGUCUCCGAAGUCAGACAGCUAGAUGGAGAGGACUUUAAAUAGCAUCCAGCACCUGAUAAACCUCAAGACAUAACGACCAAGAAGACAGUUUAAGUCUACACUUCUUACUAGUUGAUACAUUUGGUUCUAGUCCUAAUAAACAAAAAUGUCAUUAAAACAGCAUGCGUCACGUUUAAAACACCAAAAAGGUUAAGUAUUGGUUUCCAGCUGUUUGAGAGGACAAAAGUGAAGCAAAGCCUGUUCAAUCAUGGGAAGACUCGGAACGUUAUUUUAAAUAAGCAGUUGCAUGUAAUUCAGUUUUGUUCUCUGGUAGCCUGGCAUUUUCUUCCUAAUUUAGGAAAUCUCUAUACCAAUGGAUAUAUGCUUGAAUUAUUGUAUACGGUUCAUUGUCUGUAUUUGAACAUCUCAUUUCCUUUGGAGUGUUGCCACCUUUGAAGACAGUGUAGGCUUUUUUUUUUAAUUUUAUAAAGUAUUAGGUAUAUAUGAAGGAUAUUUAGAAGAUAUAUGCAAAACACAAGGAAUAAUAAUUCAGCGUACAUGUAAGUACACGGGUGUACCUACUACUGGGUUUGACUACUGGCAUCACCGUGACCUGGGUGCCCUUCACAGUGUCCUCUUUAUUCCCCUGGGGGGUAUUCCUUUUGUGUCAGUCCCGACCUUGCUCUUUGCUAUAGCGUUACCACAUAUGUUCGUGUCUCUGAACAGUGUAUCACUUGGCCUCAUACAUACUGAACUUCACAAGUGGAGCUCUACUCUUGUUCUGCAGGUGACUGUCUCGGUCCACACUGCCUUUCUGAGAUCGAUCCAUUUUGUAUGCAGCUGAGUCAGCACCCGCAAAUUCAGUCUAUCUGCUCAUUCUGCUGUCCGUGGACAUUCGUUGUCACGUCAGCUGGUUUGGUCGGCAGCAUUCUUCAGCAUGUCUUGCGACCAUACGCGUGCAGGAGCCUUCACACAGUGCACACCUGGGAGUAGAAUUGCUGGAUCAUAGAGCAUGUUUACAUUCACCUUCACUAGAUGGUGCAACAUAGCCGAACAGCGUGUGCCUUCCUGCCACGUUCUCAUGUUCCAGCUCUUCCGUGACCUCACCUGCGUCUGAUGGCGAUCUGUGCGUGUUGAGCAGUGUGAAGUGUUACAGAGGCUUUGUUACUGGUUAUGGAGGUUUUGUACCUUUCCGAGUGUUUCUUGCUCUUAGGUUUCCUUUCUGUAAAGCUUCUAUUCAAGUCUUUUGGAAAUGAUUUCAAGAAAUUGGCUUUCAGGGUUCCUUAUGUCUUCUGGCUGUUAACCCAUUGUCAGUUACGUGUAUUGCAAAUCUCUUUUGUCAGGUUGUGGUUUCUGUUGUCAUUCUGUUUGUGGUGUCUUUAGUGAAUUAAAAUUUUCAAUUAAAAAAAUGAAAAGUUUUUUUGUUUUGAGAGAGAAAGUUGUGUGUGUGCGUGCGCGCACAAGUGGAGGCGGGGCAGACAGAAGAAGAGACAGAAUCCUGAGCAGGCUCCUGCACCAUCAGCACAGAGCCCAGAGCCCGAUGCCAGGCCCUGAACUCACAAACCAUGAGAUCACGACCUGAGCCAAG